GAUGAACGCUAGCGGCAGGCUUAACACAUGCAAGUCGAGGGGUAGAGGUUGCUUGCAACCUUGAGACCGGCGCACGGGUGCGUAACGCGUAUGCAACCUACCUUUUACAGAGGGAUAGCCCAGAGAAAUUUGGAUUAAUACCUCAUAGUAUAUAACCUUCGCAUGUUGGUUAUAUUAAAGUUCCAACGGUAAAAGAUGGGCAUGCGUCCUAUUAGCUAGAUGGUAAGGUAACGGCUUACCAUGGCAACGAUAGGUAGGGGUCCUGAGAGGGAGAUCCCCCACACUGGUACUGAGACGCGGACCAGACUCCUACGGGAGGCAGCAGUGAGGAAUAUUGGACAAUGGGCGCAAGCCUGAUCCAGCCAUGCCGCGUGCAGGAAGAAGCAUCUAUGGUGUGUAAACUGCUUUUGUACAGGAAGAAACACCCCGACGUGUCGGGACUUGACGGUACUGUAAGAAUAAGGAUCGGCUAACUCCGUGCCAGCAGCCGCAGUAAGAC
rnacentral:rRNA from 1 species